rnacentral:rRNA from 1 species
UACAGAGGGUGCGAGCGUUAAUCGGAGUUACUGGGCGUAAAGGGCGCGUAGGUGGUCUUGCGAGUGUGAUGUGAAAGCCCUGGGCUUAACCUAGGAAGUGCAUCGCAAACGGCAAGACUGGAGUAUAAGAGAGGGUAGUGGAAUUUCCGGUGUAGCGGUGAAAUGCGUAGAGAUCGGAAGGAACGUCAAUGGCGAAGGCAGCUACCUGGCUUAAUACUGACACUGAGGCGCGAAAGCGUGGGGAUCAAACAGG